UGGUGGUCAUGGAGGGGUCGAGGUGGCCAUGGAGGGGUCAUGGUGGCCAUGGAGGGGUUGUGGUGGCCAUGGAGGGGUCAUGGUGGUCAUGGAGGGGUUGUGGUGGCAAUGGAAGGGUCAAGGUGGUCAUGGAGGGGUUGUGGUGGCCGUGGAAGGGUCAAGGUGGUCAUGGAGGAGUUGAGGUGGUCAUGGAGGGGUUGUGGUGGCCAUGGAAGGGGGUCAAGGUGGUCAUUGAAGGCUUGUG